GAUGAACGCUGGCGGCGUGCCUAAUACAUGCAAGUCGAGCGAACAGACGAGGAGCUUGCUCCUUUGACGUUAGCGGCGGGCGGGUGAGUAACACGUAGGUAACCUACCUAUAAGACUGGGAUAACUUCGGGAAACCGGAGCUAGUACCGGAUAAUAUUUCGAACCGCAGGGUUCGAUAGUGAAAGAUGGCUUUGCUGUCACUUAUCGAUGGACCUGCGCCGUAUUAGCUGGUUGGUAAGGUACCGGCUUACCAAGGCAACGAUUCGUAGCCGACCUGAGAGGGUGAUCGGCCACACUGGAGCUGAGACGCGGUCCAGACUCCUACGGGAGGCAGCAGUAGGGAAUCUGCCGCAAUGGGCGAAAGCCUGACGGAGCAACGCCGCGUGAGUGAUGAAGGUCUUCGGAUCGUAAAACUCUGUUAUUAGGGAAGAACAAACGUGUAAGUAACUGUGCACGUCUUGACGGUACCUAAUCAGAAAGCCACGGCUAACUACGUG
rnacentral:rRNA from 1 species